rnacentral:lncRNA from 1 species
AGCAGAUCCUGACAUUUUAAAAAGUAAAAGAUACAUUCUUGUUAUCAUUUAUACCAGAUCUCCUCCUGAAAAUUGUGGUGGUGUAUGAAACUUGCAGCCUGUCAUGUACCUUCAGCAACAAAUAAAACCAGCAAAGAGAAGAUUUUCCCAAGGAGAUGGGUUGAGUUGGGUGGAUGAAAUUGCUCAGAUGCCUGAGGCAACAGACUGAGUUGACUUGAAUCAUUAUGAUUAUUCAAAUGAGAAUUAUCCAAAUGACCUAGAUUUCUUCCUUGCUGCAUCAUGACAAAUUGCUAGACAAUGACACCUCUGCUGUUUGCAUUUCUGUGGGCAGACACAUUUGGAUAUCCAUACAGACAAAAAAUAAUUGAAGAAAAAAUCCUGCUGUAUCUCUCUGCAACAAAUCUGAUUCCAUUAGAAAGAACUUUUAAACUCUAAAAGAAAUAAACUCCACUGUAAACAAACA